AUUUUCCUUUUAAAUUAAAAUGAGUAUGUGAAAAAUUAAGGUGAAAAUACCGUCUUCUUCUCCUAUGAGCUUUGAGCUUUGAGUUUUUCCUGGAUUUGAAUGAAUUUAUCUCUCUCCUCUCACUUCGUUUCCUCUCUCUUCCUAAGCUAUCUUCUUCUUCUUCUUCUUCUUCUUCUUCUCUUCACCUAAUAUUGGCUUUCCCCACAGUUCUGCCUUCACCUAGUCCCUCCCAUUUGUGAAAUUCUCUCUCUCGUCUUCUUCUCCGAACGACUUCUCUAUCUCCUCUGUUGUUUCAUCUGCUUCUUCUCUCUCUCUCUCUCUCUCUCAGCGUCUCUGCAACGUCUUCACAGCGCGGGUUGAUUGGUGACAAAUCGCAGGUCUUGGCGUGCAGGGCUCCGGGAUUCAGUAGCUUGCUUGUCGUCUUCCUCACGCGUGCCAAAUAUCUCUGUGCCCACGCCUUCGGAGGAAGCAACCGCAGGUGAGGGUGAGGUUUUCCAGUGUGGGCGUGUCUAGUGGUAUUCAUGUGUUCCUCUCACGGACGCCCUUCGAUUGAGCCAGAAACAAAUGAAGCUUAGGAUUUGGUGUGAUAAUCAUGCUUUUUUUUUUUCUCUUCAACUUUUGAGUACAACGUAAUGUAAUAUAUGGUAAAAUUCGAAAUUUGUUUAUUUAUCUGAAAUUACUUGAGGGAAAAAUUAAUCGGAUUUUCUUUGGUUAUCA